rnacentral:lncRNA from 1 species
GGACAAAACCCAUGCCACAGCUCCACCCACUGCCUCAACAACGUGGGCAGCUAUCAGUGCCGCUGCCGCCCGGGCUGGCAACCGAUUCCGGGGUCCCCCAAUGGCCCAAACAAUACCGUCUGUGAAGGUCGAGAGCUCAGAUCCCACGUUCCCAGAGACCCACAAACAUCUGAUCACAUGUUCAACGGCGCCCACACAAACCAAGCAGAAUGAGCGCUGGAGGCGCCCGACUGUGUCAGGCGUUCAUUCUUCUGAGGCUAGAUGAGAAAAGAGCAAGGGUCCUGCGGAAGGAGCUGGGGUACUGAGGGGGGAGGCUCAGGGGGACCCCAGGCAACAGCUGAUGACUCACUGGGAGGAAGGCGUUUCACCAUAUUCAUAACCUGCUCAUCUGCACGGGGCCCACCUGCUGUGCCCAGGCCUCUCCACGCUUCCAUAACCCAGCGUCCACCUCUCCAAGGGGGGCACUAAUGCCGGGAGGAACGAGCUGGGGGCACAGACAGGAGACAGGACCCUCUCCAGGCUGGGACAGGACCUGACCCCCUUCUUCCUGUCCUCAGAUGUGGACGAGUGCAGCUCCGGGCAGCAUCAGUGUGACAGCUCCACCGUCUGCUUCAACACCGUGGGUUCAUACAGCUGCCGCUGCCGCCCAGGCUGGAAGCCCAGACACGGAAUCCCGAAUAACCAAAAGGACACUGUCUGUGAAGAUAUGACUUUCUCCACCUGGACCCCGCCCCCUGGAGUCCACAGCCAGACGCUUUCCCGAUUCUUCGACAAAGUCCAGGACCUGGGCAGAGACUACAAGCCAGGCUUGGCCAAUAACACCAUCCAGUCCCACCAGAGCCAAGUGACCACACCUGUAUAUCAGUGUUACUCUCAUCGACAAACUAA